rnacentral:lncRNA from 1 species
CUUCCUGCCUGCAAUUAACUAGACUGUAAUAUGAUUAUUUCAUUAUUUGUUAAUAUUGUCUAAGCUAUUUGAUUGCAUGUUAGCUAGUUCUCAUCUUAAAUCCAAGAAAGUCAGCCAUGAAUCCUUAGAAAAAUCGUAUGGUUGAUAUUUUAGCUAGACAGAAGUAAUAUCUCUAACAGUUGAAAACUGCAGUUCCAUUGUGUGUAACCCAGUCAAAAUCAGUGUAGAAUAUACUUCAGAUAAACCUACCUCAAUUUUGAAGUAUCUCUAUUCCUAUUAGUUUGGAAAAGUAUGACAAUAAAAUAUUACCACAGCACAACCUAUUUGUAAGUAUAUGGGGGGACUCCUAUUGCAAGAGUUUUGAACUAUUUUUAACUUUCUAUCAAUAAUUAAACAACUGUAAAUUGAAUCCUUAGAAUUCAGUAAAACUCUAAGUCACAUUAUUUUUGCAUCAGGUACUCCACGUCUAUUUUUGUGCUGAGUGUGGGAAUGUAUUCACAAAAUUUUGCUGUGUCAUCUAGCCUUGAAGAUUUAGACUGGUAAUAUAAAAAGAGAUUUUUCUGUCUGCCUUGGUCUUGAAAAGGAAAGAAUUCUGAUUCUCUUUCUUCCUGUGCUAGUGGGAUAAGCUCAAAGAACUGAAGUAUACACUUGAUAACAUAAGGUUGUUGGCUUUGUCACAGACUUGCACUGCUUCAUGCUGACCUUCUGGUUCCCCCUGCUGAAUAGUUCCACACAAGGUUUUUGCUACUCAGCUGUACCAUUGGGGCAAUGACUUCUGGCAUGACCAAAAGUGAGUGGGUGAUUUCUGAGUGACCCUGACCGAGAGUGCUUCUCUGCAAAUUCAUAAGGAGAAUGAGUUUAUGACUGUUUUGAUAAAACCCAAGAGGCAGGCUUGGGUGCUUCUGCUGUCAGACUGUCAUGGCUGUCCAGAGAAGGAGCAAACACGAUGGUGGGAGAUGAAUUUUUUUCAUCUGUCACCUUUCAAGUGCAAUGUGAUCAAAGCCAAUGUUGAAGCAAUGCAGCAUGUAAAGGAGUCUGUUUUCAUUUAGCUGGGCUGUCUUGAUUUUGCAUUCAUUACACAAGGUGAAUGUUACUUUUAUGACUUCUUGCUAGAGUAGUUAGUUACUUGCUCUCUGGGAGAAAUUGUAUACGUCCAGGAACAUUG